rnacentral:rRNA from 1 species
UAGAUGCGAGAGUAGAGCAUAUCAAUAAGCGGAGGAAAAGAAACUAACAAGGAUUCCCUUAGUAACGGCGAGUGAAGCGGGAAGAGCUCAAAUUUGAAAUCUUCAAGGUUCUACCUUGACGAAUUGUAGUUUAUAGAAGUGUUUUCUGUUAGUGGAGUGGCAAAAGUUCUUUGGAAUAGGACAUCAUAGAGGGUGAGAAUCCCGUAUUUGGUCAUUCCUCCUAGCGUUGUGAUACACUUUCAACGAGUCGGAUUGUUUGGGAAUGCAGUCCAAAAUGGGUGGUAAAUUUCAUCUAAAGCUAAAUAUUGGCGAGAGACCGAUAGCAAACAAGUACCGUGAGGGAAAGAUGAAAAGAACUUUGAAAAGAGAGUUAAACAGUACGUGAAAUUGUCAAAAGGGAAGCGUUUGACACCAGUGUUGUUUUUCCGAAAAUCAAUUACGAAUGUUUUGUUUUUAAGAAGUUAUGACUUCAUCGGCUUGCUCCUUUCUUUACUGAAACUUUCUUAAUGCACUUUUCGGUUAACAAGUCAACAUCAAUUUCUUUUGUUGUAAAAGGGUAUGAGGAAGGUGGCUUUCUUUUCGGAGAAAGUGUUUAUAGCCUUGUACCUCUGCAAUCGGAGAGAUUGAGGUCUGCAGCGUAGAUCCUUCGGGGUUAGAUACAUUUGUGCUAAGUUAUAGCUUUUCAUAGACAACUUGUUGACUAUGUUAGUCUUGUAGCUUACUCGCUUAUGCUAUUUUACCUACGCUUAGGAUGUUGACGAGACUGUCGAUCUC